ensembl:lncRNA
GCUAAUUCUGUACAUUCAAAUGAAACAGAGGGGAAAUAUACUGAAUGGAGCCCAUGUAUAAGAUCAUAUGAAAUGUAAAAAGCCUUGUUGUUCUGCGCACACACUGCCUCUUCAAUCCAGUUCUGCUUAAAUGCCCAUUCUUCUCGUUUGGCAUCUCCUUGUCCCUCUAUGGCCGAAUCAAAAGAGGGACGAAAUAAUGACACAAAGAUUUUUAAAAACUCAGCCCCAGCUGCAGCAGGGAGAAGCCUGAAGCGAAACGUGAGAGCGUACGGCUCUUUGUUAGGGUUUCCUUGGCUAUAGAAUAUGGUAUAUGAAACGCCUGGCGUAUCCCGUUCGGUCCUAUGGAGGGAGAGCUCUUAAGGUGGCUCCUCCGGGUUUGGGGUGGCUGUGGGGAGCCAGCCCUGCAUUUGCAGGCAGAGAACGUCCCACCUGCAGGACCCCGCGCCCCAGGGCUGCUCUGCAGGCGGUGGGUGGUCCGGAUGGGAUUUUGCUUUCUUUAUUGUAGCUGCCGCUUUGCGUGGGGAAACCUAACUCAACGCUCCUCGUCGGGAGAUGGUUCCAGUUUAUACGGGCUUCUAGGAAACAGAGACGCUUUUCUCCAUGCACACGCGAGCAUGGCACCACCUUGCCCAGCCAUGGGCUGAACUCUGCAUUUUGGAGCUGCCACCAGCCCGUCCCCUGUAGGACAGGAUCCCCUCUCAGCCCUUGGGACACGCUAGCAAUGGGCUCCUCACGUGGGUUCCCCCUGGGAAAACCCAGUGAUGCUGGGAUACUCGGAGCAUGAAAGCACCAAAGGCCCAGCAGUCAGCCCUGCCACCUCAACAGCGCUGGUGAGGAGCAGCACAUUUCUCUGCAGCAGCUGGAGCUGCCUCAUGACACUGGUGUGCGUGGCUGGCAGCACGCUGGUGCAGAGCAGCGGGGGACAGCCAGGGCGGGCAUGUGACACCCUGGCUGCUAUUCCUGCUCCGAGGGACUGUCACACGGAGCGAGAAUCACCCGGCGACAGCACACAAGGCAGGUGCGUGACCCAAACCUUCCUGACCGCUUCCCAAGGAUGGACUGAGGUCUGGAAGAAGCUGCUCGGUGUCACUGGAGCAAGGCGAGCUCCCUGUGUGCUGCCAGCUCAGCUCUGCAGAGAGCUCCGUAGGGCAGCACCCCACAGGCAGGCUUUGGCAGGGAGCUCUGUACCUUGGAGCUGCCUUCCCGCAGUGGUAGCUGGAGCUGGUUCUAAUACUUAGAUGGUUUUAAUGUGGAAACAAGAAUCCACGAGCUGUCAGCUCUCCCCAGCCAGGCACCAUCCCAGAGCUCGGCAAACACAGAGCAUGGGAGACCUGCAGCUGCCGAAUAACGGCUCUCUCUUCCCCUCGAGCCAGACAUGCGAGGGGUGCUGCAUCCACCCACCGUUUGACGAUACCCGUGUUGCCCACCCUGCAAGCAGCAGGAUUUAGGAUGCUGCUGGAGCGUGGAAUCCUUAUGGGAGACACCUCACAGAGGCAGCAAUGCUACACAACUGGUUUGGAUAAGAGGCGAUGAGAAGCCCCGCAUCCCGCUGCAGGAUGUAGGUCAGGCGGGUGGAAACGUGGGAGCCCUGGGCAGCAGCCAGUGCCCAGCUGGUGCGGGUGGUCUCCCGGGCCUACAGCCACCACAGACAGCCAGGGGUGUGGGCUGCGUUCUGCAGCUUUCCCCCAGCAGCUCUGCAGCAGCGGUGCCUGGAGGCGGAGUGGCCCUGUGAGGGCACGAGCCCGGGCCAUCCCAAACAAAGACUCUCUGCAAGAUCUUUCCUGUGUCGUGGAGUCUGCUCACCUGCGCUGCAGGGACAGCAGGAUGCCCCCACCAAGGGCAGGAGCCAAAGGGCUGAUGCUGAAGCUUCCUGCCCAGGGACUUGCUGCUCUCUGAGGCCUUCCCCAAAGCUCCUGCCCAAUGUCUCUGCACCUCCCAAGCCCUCACACCCAGCCAGGCAGUCAGGCUGCUCCCCACCACCAUCCCAGCGGGCUGUGGCUGGGCCCCCAAUGCGAGGGCACGGGGUAGGAGGCAGCGGGUGCACGGCUGCAUCUCGGCGAG